rnacentral:rRNA from 1 species
UACGAAGGGUGCAAGCGUUAAUCGGAAUUACUGGGCGUAAAGCGCGCGUAGGUGGUUCAGUAAGUUGGAAGUGAAAUCCCCGGGCUCAACCUGGGAACUGCUUUCAAAACUGCUGAGCUAGAGUACGGUAGAGGGUGGUGGAAUUUCCUGUGUAGCGGUGAAAUGCGUAGAUAUAGGCAGGAACACCAGUGGCGAAGGCGACCACCUGGACUGAUACUGACACUGAGGUGCGAAAGCGUGGGGAGCAAACAGG